GCUGAGGAGUGAUGACAAAAAAGGCCGAAUUGCAGUGCCUGUGAACAGUUUUCUCUCUAAAGGCAUGAUGACAAAACUCCUGAAGCGACUUUUUGUCUGACCUCAGU